GGGGUCUGAGGGGCACAACAGAGGCAGGAGUGUGGUGAGGAGGCUGGUGUGAGAGGAUACGUAUGGUCUUGUCACACAGCUAGGAUGGGAGGCCUUUUGAGGAGCUUGGCUGUGCGAGGAGAACAGGUAGGUAGCUGGAGGCAGGUGCAGGGUCCAGGAGGCUUUUAAAGAUGGGAGGCCCUUGGGCUGAGAGGGAGGACAAAGCAGAGGAUGGCCUGGGGGACCCAGGAAGGGAUGUGGGGCAGCACUGAGGGCCCAGCGGAGGUGGAAGCCAUAGGUCAUGGCAGGGCCGUCAGUACCAUAUAGGCAACAGGAGAGGCUGACUUUAUCCCAGCUGGGGCCAGGCUUCAUUCCUGUCCCCAAAUGCUUUUCUUGCUCUGGCCCCCCAUCUGAUGCCUUCUCAUCUUUUUUUCUAGCAAACUACGGAGCCAAACUUCCCUGAGAUCCUCCUAAUUGCCAUCAACAAGUAUGGGGUCAGCCUCAUCGAUCCCAAAACGAAGGAUAUCCUCACCACUCAUCCCUUCACCAAGAUCUCCAACUGGAGCAGCGGCAACACCUA
rnacentral:sRNA from 1 species